rnacentral:rRNA from 1 species
UACGGAGGGUGCGAGCGUUAAUCGGAAUUACUGGGCGUAAAGGGUGCGUAGGUGGUUGAAUAAGUUAUCUGUGAAAAUCCUGGGCUUAACCUGGGGCUGUCAGCUAAGACUGUUUGACUCGAGUAUGGGAGAGGGUAGUGGAAUUUCCGGUGUAGCGGUGAAAUGCGUAGAGAUCGGAAGGAACACCAGUGGCGAAGGCGGCUACCUGGCCUAAUACUGACACUGAGGCACGAAAGCGUGGGGAGCAAACAGGAUUAGAUACCCUGGUAGUCCACGCUGUAAACGAUGUCAACUAGCUGUUGGUUAUUUAAAAGUAAUUAGUGGCGCAGCAAACGCGAUAAGUUGACCGCCUGGGGAGUACGGUCGCAAGAUUAAA